rnacentral:lncRNA from 1 species
GGUGCCAAUCUUAGCUAAAGGUGCAGUAGAUCACUGGAACUGAGGAUACAUAAACAGCUAUUUCAAAUGACUGGAAUUCAAGUGUCCAGACAGUUAUACAUUCCUAACGUUAGGGCAUGAAUGAAAACUACGCAUAACUCGAUUGAUUUUCGACCAAUACACAAACCAGCAUGAAAACUUCACAAACACAUGAGCCAUUUAAACAUCAGUAGACUAGUAAAUAAACCAAUUUUGACAGCCUAUGAUAAAGAAAACAAGCAGAUUUAACCCUCAAACCAUUUGGAAACCAACCCUUAAACGCUUACACACAGAAAAGAAAUCGAUUAUGGCCAGGCACUGAAAGAAGAGGCUGACAAACACACAAUUACACGUUUCGAUGGAUUCUGAAACUAGAGGACCAUAUGAACAUUAGUAAACACACAUAUGAAGUCAUACAAAAAGGCUAAAAAUCUCUUUUACUACUUCAAACUUCAGCCCAUUUUAUAGCUCAUUCAGAGAUCGAUUUACAACGGGAACUAAAGCGAAGAAGAGAAAUGAACCUAGAAUUAAGAGACUGAACUAACACCACACUGAAAUCAACCAAGAAAAAGCAAACAACUGAAAACCAACCUUCGAGCAACAACAGCCUCAAACUUCUCUAGUGACUUCCAUUUUUAAACCAAGAUCCAGAAUCAAAAUGAAGAAGAUGGACUCUAGGGAUUUUAAAAAAAAAAACUUUAAACAAUAAUCGUCAUGAAAUGAAAUUCCAGAACACUCAAUGAAAUUAUUUUUUUGCCCUUUUUUAGUCUCAGAAGUAAAGAACCAAAUAAAUGGAUAAAGAAAUCUCUCAAAUCUUUUCCCAAAAUCCCCUCUCAGGAAAUUUUUCGAAGUCCCUCUGAAAAUCUUUUUUCUUCAAAAUCGGAUCCGGUCCCUUAUGAAAACAAACCCCUGAUGAAUGUGGGGCUCGGAUUGAACGAAUUCAAUCCAACGCCUCACACUCAUCCAAUGAAUCGUCUCUAGGACCUUCCAAUCGUGAGAUAAAUCCAAAUUCUAGCUAGUGAGAAGGGAGGGGAAUAUUGUCGUCAGAAACUGUUAGAAAUGGCAAGAGAAGGGAAGGAGGAACGCGUGGUUAUGGGUUUGAUGUUCACUCGCCAUGGAUUUUGAGUGAUUUGGGGCUUGAUUCGAGUGAAGGAGGCAUGUGAAUAGUGAGGCGUCCGUUUGGUUCUUUAGGAGUUAGGGUUCUGUAUGUAUCUGUGUGUAAAUUUGG